CUGCAGUGACAGGACAGGAACAUUACAACACGGGUUUGAUGUCAGGCUUGAUGGUGUGUGUCGGCGCUGCUGGGGUCCAGGUUCUUGCGCUUCUGCUUGUGUUCUCAGCAGAAUGUGGUGAGUUCUGGUUCACUCGUUCUCUCUUAAAAACAUCUGAAGCAAAACGGGGACUCAUGCGUACGGGGCGGUUCACACAGGGCAUGUUCUUGCAUUCAGUAACAGCUGGAAAGAGCAACAUGACAUGGCAUCCUAAAAAGACAUCUGAUGUUAGCAUGUUGUGAAGCUAAUAACUACAAUAUCAAUGGUUCCCGAAGGUUUCGACUCAUUGUUUUUCUGGUACUUCUGCUUGUAAAAUUCCAAACCUGUUCCUUAUUUCAUCUGUUUGAAUACAAAAGAAAAACUUUUUCUUGAUGAUGACGAAAUUUAAGAAAACAAAACGUUAUUUACUGUAUACCCGAGAUUAAUAUUUUAGUUGGACAUUUAAUGAAAACUGUGGACAUUCAGUCAUAUUUUAGCUGUUUAGUUGCACUUCAUGGUAAUUGUUAAAUCCAUAUUCACAGUUGUUUUGCUCCAAAUUAUAAUUGCAAUUAUUAGUCACUUCAGAAUUUCUUUUUACAUUUCAACAGAAUUAUUGCACUUUGAGGUAAGCACAAAUCAAAAUAAUGUCAACUCAGAUGCAUUUUAUAUUUGAUUGACAUCUAGUUUCCUGUAUUUUAUAUAAAUAUAUAUAUAUAUAUAUAUAUAUAUAUAUAUAUAUAUAUAUAUAUAUAUAUAUAAACAUAUUAUUACAUAUAAACAAAUUACAAAUGCUGUUUUUACAGAAAAGAAUUAUAUAUAUAUAUAUAUAUAUAUAUAUAUAUAGUGUAUAUUUCUUUUUGUAAAUUAACACUUUUUCCUGUUAAAAUAGCAUUUGUAAUUUCGAAAAAUAAUAACUUAUUUCAGUUACAAAGCAGCUUAUAUGCAUGUGUGUGCUUGUGUGUGUCUGAGUGUGUGUGUCUGAGUGUGUGUGUGUGUGUGUGUGUGUGUGUGUGUGUGUGUGUGUGUGAGCGACUGCAGAAUGCUCUAUAGUCCAAAUGUUUUCACUGGCAGCUUCAGUCAGAGGCUCUUUCAUUAGUCUCUUUAGCGAUGGGUGGCUGCUUUGAGGGAUGAUGGGAAAUCACUCCCUCCUGUCAAGACGAUUAAUGCCCCCUGAACACUCAGACCUGCCCUCUUUAGAACGGACCUCGAAAUAUACGACAGACACAAAGCUGCUGGUCACUGACAGGCGACUGGUUUAAUGUAAAAACUGCUAACUUAAAGCAGUAAAUUUGUGUGACUUUCUUAGUACCUGUGUAAGAAAAAAAAUAUUUGGAGGGGGGAAAAAACAUAGAUUUUCAUUGUAUGAACAAAAUUUUAUGAAUACAAUUUUGUUAACUCUUUACAAUAAGGUGAUUUGUGGCACUGGAGCACAAAAGCAGAUUACGUCACUGAGGUAUAUUUGUAGCAAUAGCGAGUCAAAAUUAUAGAUUUCUCUUUUAUGCCAAAAAUCAUUAGGAUGUAAAGUAAAGAUCUUGUUCCAUGAAGAUAUUUUGUAAAUAUCCAACUGUUAAUAUAUCAAAACUUAAUUUUUCAUUAGUAAUAUGCAUUUGUGGAUGGCACUGGUUUUAUGGUCUAUGGGUACACAUUAGUUCGUAUUUAUAAAUGCAUUACACUAUUUAAUUUAAAGAUUGUAAAACACAUGCAUAACAAUUGCUGCAAAUAAAUUUAUAUUUGUUUUACAUAAUAUUUUCUAAAUUAGAAAUAAUUGUGAAAAAUAUUUCUUAAAUAGAAUGAUUUGAAUUUGAGAGAAAAGAAAAGAUUCAGUAAAAUUCUCAAAUUUAUUUAGAUUAUUUAUUUAGUCUAGUGGAUUAUUUUUCAAUAGUAAUAAAAAAUAAAAACAUAAAGACCAGUUCAUCCAAUAUAUAAUAAUUAUACAUCCAGUAAUAAAUGCUUGUCACUUUUAUAAAUCUUUGUUUAUUUAAUUUUCAUAUUAAGCUUUCAUUCAUUUCGUUCAUAUUCUUUUGUGCAUUUCUUGAAAUAUUUUGUAAGAUUCUUUACAGAAAUAUAAUUAUUUUUCAAUUUUGUCUUAAAGGAGUAGUUCACCUAAAAAAUUUUUCAUUCUGUCAUUUACUCCCCGUCAUGUUUUUCCAGACCUGAAUGAGUUUCUUUCUUCACACAAAGAUGAUGUUUUGAUAGGAGUAUGUCUGUAACAAAAUAAUUCCUGG
ensembl:lncRNA